GCUGGGCACGGUGGCGCAUGCCUGUAAUUGUAGCAACUCAGGAGGCUGAGGCAGGAGGAUCAUGAGUUCAGAGCCAACCUCAGCAAAAAGCAAGGUGCUAAGCAACUCAGUGAGACCUUCUCUCUA
rnacentral:sRNA from 1 species